CAACUGUGAAGCAGCACAGUAAAAGUCUGUUUCCUCACUGAUCACUAGAGUGGACUUAGCUGUUCUGACUGGCAAGAUGAAGUUUCUGUAUCUCCUCACAUCCUUUGCAAACCUCACAGAGCUGCUCACUGAGACAAGAGCCCAUGCUCUGCAUCAGGCACAGUAGUGUCGCCUUCUAGAUCCUCCAUACAAGAUUAAAGUCCAUUUGUAGAACACAGAGAAGUCAACCCUCUAAGUCUUGAGACAUGUCCAAAUGAAGGUCUCUCUACUGCAUUUUACCUUUCAUU
rnacentral:snRNA from 1 species